GUAUUUUUGAAAUUUUAAGAAGAAAAAUUUUCAUAGGACAAUCUAUAAAAUUCUAAAAACUAAAAAUAUUGUAGAUAAUAAGAAAAUACUGAUUUUGUUAAACUAAAAUGUAUUUUAAUCGUUCAUUUUUACCAAUUUCAUCAAAAUUUAGAAAAAAAACAUGCAAAACAAAUGUAAACAUCCUGCAGCCAUUUAAAUGGACAUGGCACUUUUAUUGCUUUACAGCAGCAGCUUGCAUCAGGGAAAUUACAGCCAAGUCUACUUUAUCCUACAGCAAGCAUGUCACUCAUUUUAAUUCAAGGGUCAUUUAAUGAGCUUGUAAGAUUACCAUGGGCCACAUCACAUUUACAA
rnacentral:lncRNA from 1 species